rnacentral:rRNA from 1 species
GAACGCGUGGCUUCGGCCACGAGUGGCGCACGGGUGAGUAACGCGUGGGAACCUGCCCCGGAGUGGGGGAUAACCGAGGGAAACCUCGGCUAAUACCGCAUACGGCCUGAGGGCGAAAGAUUUAUCGCUCCGGGAGGGGCCCGCGUCGGAUUAGCUAGUUGGCGGGGUAACGGCCCACCAAGGCUAUGAUCCGUAGCUGGUCUGAGAGGAUGAUCAGCCACACUGGGACUGAGACACGGCCCAGACUCCUACGGGAGGCAGCAGUGGGGAAUAUUGGACAAUGGGCGCAAGCCUGAUCCAGCAAUGCCGCGUGGGUGAUGAAGGCCUUAGGGUUGUAAAGCCCUUUUGGCGGGGACGAUGAUGACGGUACCCGCAGAAGAAGCCCCGGCUAACUUCGUGCCAGCAGCCGCGGUAAUACGAAGGGGGCGAGCGUUGUUCGGAAUUACUGGGCGUAAAGGGCGCGCAGGCGGCGUCGGAAGUCGGGCGUGAAAGCCCCGGGCUCAACCUGGGAAUUGCGCUUGAUACUCCGAUGCUGGAGUUCGGGAGAGGAGAGUGGAAUUCCCAGUGUAGAGGUGAAAUUCGUAGAUAUUGGGAAGAACACCGGUGGCGAAGGCGGCUCUCUGGACCGAGACUGACGCUGAGGCGCGAAAGCGUGGGGA